AGUUAAAAUCUGUCAGCUUUAGUUUGAGAACGGAGGAACCAAUUUUAGGGGCUAAUCUCUAAUUCUGAUAAGAGAGAGACACUUUCCAGUCUUAGCCCGUCAGCUAACUCCGUCGGCAAUGGAAGGAGUACCC
rnacentral:sRNA from 3 species